rnacentral:rRNA from 1 species
AUGGACCUCUUCUAUGCUUCGACCACUAUCACUAUUGGCAAUGGGGCUAUUGCGCCUUUUUGGGACUCCCCUUGGUUAUUUGGUAGGAAACCAAAAGAUGUGGCUCCACUCAUCUUUGAGUGCUCUUCGAGGAAAAACUGGAAGGUGCGCGAAGCCUUACUCGAGGGCGCGUGGAUUGGCAAAGUCAAAAUUUCGACCUCCUUUUCACUCGAGCAUAUCCGUCAAUUUAUCCAUCUUUGGACCUUGCUUCGGAAUGUUCAUCUCGAGGAGGAUAGGGUGGAUUCCAUCGCAUGGAAGCACACAACGAAUGGUGAAUACACCACAACUUCAGCGUAUAGGGCGCAAUUCUUGGACAUUGCACGCACAGAAACCAUUUGGAAGGUUUGGGCUCCACCAAAAAUCAAGUUCUUUGCUUGGCUAGCAAUUCAAAAUCGUGUUUGGACCGCCGACCGUUUGGCCAAGCGAGGUUGGGACAAUUGCGGACUUUGCCCACUAUGCAAGAGGGAGCAAGAAUCUGUGGCUCACCUCUUCUACAAGUGCCGAUACACGUUGAGGCUCUCGGAAAUGCUGAAAGUAUGGCUACAAUUGGAUACCAUGGAUAUUACUACUUGGCCGGGGGAACGAUCGAUCAAGGAUUGA